rnacentral:misc_RNA from 1 species
UUUCCGUAGGUGAACCUGCGGAAGGAUCAUUACUGACUUUUGAAUGAAGUUGUUCUGGUCUUUCGGGGCAAGUGAACGCUUCUCUCAAUCCAUCUUACACCUGUGCACCUAUCGGGGAAGACUUGGAUCUAAGUGGGGUCACGACGGCGAUCUACAGUCUCCUCUGUAUACCAAAUAACAGUUUUAGAAAGUCUUUUUUGCUUGAUGCAAACUUAAAUAAAUACAACUUUCAGCAACGGAUCUCUUGGCUCUC